CCUUUUGCAAUAAUGGGUGUUCAUAAAAUUGAACGAUACAGAGAAGAUUAGCAUGACCCCUGCGCAAGGAUGACACACACAAAUCGAGAAACUAGCAAACUCAAU
rnacentral:snRNA from 1 species